UGGGGAAUAUUGGACAAUGGGGGAAACCCUGAUCCAGCGAUGCCGCGUGAGUGAAGAAGGCCUUAGGGUUGUAAAGCUCUUUCAGUGGGGAAGAUGAUGACGGUACCCACAGAAGAAGCACCGGCAAACUCUGUGCCAGCAGCCGCGGUAAUACAGAGGGUGCAAGCGUUGUUCGGAAUUACUGGGCGUAAAGAGCGCGUAGGCGGCUCGAUAAGUCAGACGUGAAAGCCCUAGGCUUAACCUAGGAGUAGCGUAUGAUACUGUCGGGCUAGAGGCCUUGAGAGGAGUGAGGAAUUCCUAGUGUAGAGGUGAAAUUCGUAGAUAUUAGGAAGAACACCAGUGGCGAAGGCGACACUCUGGCAAGGAACUGACGCUGAGGCGCGAAAGCGUGGGGAGCAAACAGG
rnacentral:rRNA from 1 species